AACGAACGCUGGCGGCGUGCUUAACACAUGCAAGUCGAACGCGAACGGUUUCUUCGGAAACCUAGUAGAGUGGCGCACGGGUGAGUAACGCGUAAGUAAUCUACCCUCGCAUUUGGGAUAACCCACCGAAAGGUGUGCUAAUACCGAAUACGUCUAUUUUAAUAUCUUUUUUUAGAGAAAGGUGGCCUCUUCAUGAAAGCUACUGUGCGGGGAGGAGCUUGCGUACCAUUAGCUAGUUGGUAGGGUAAUGGCCUACCAAGGCAACGAUGGUUAGCGGGUCUGAGAGGAUGAUCCGCCACACUGGAACUGAAACACGGACCAG
rnacentral:rRNA from 1 species